rnacentral:tRNA from 5 species
GCUCCAGUGGUGUAGACCGGUCAAGCAUUUCGCCCUUUCAAGGCGAAGAUCUCGGGUUCAAAUCCCGACUGGAGCACCA